AUAAAAUAAAAAUAAUAAUAUAAGAGUAGUAAUAGUUAUUUUCUUAAAACUUAAAAAAUUUGGCGGUAUUUUAAUCUAUUCAGAGGAACCUGUUUUAUAAUUGAUAAUCCACAUUGAAUCUUACUUAAAAUUGUUUAGUUUGUAUAUCGUUGUCAAAAAAAAAUCUUAAAAAAGAAAUAAUUUUUUAAUUUUAAUAUUAUAAUUUAUGUCAAAUCAAGGUGCAGCUUAUAUUUAAGUAAAAAUGGGUUACAAUAAAUAUUUAUUUAUGAUGAAUUAAAAAAUUAAAAAUUUUUAUGAAAGAGGAUUUGAUAGUAAAUUUUUAAAGAUUAUAAAAUUGAUUUUAGUUCUAAAAUAUGU
rnacentral:rRNA from 1 species